AUGUCGCUGCUCGACGACGUCGACGACGAGGCCUUCCUCCUCGCCGCCGAGGCAGCGGAGGCCGCGGCGAACGCGUCCUCCAAGCGCCCCCGCCUCUCCACCUCCCCGUCGCCGACCCCCGCCGCCUCCGAGGGGUCCUACCUGUCCGCGCUCAAGGGCAGCCACAGCGCCGCCUGGAAGCAGCAGCAGGAAACCCUAACCCUCGCCCACAAGCUGCCCGGCGGCUCCAAGGUCCCAGGCGUCUCCCCUGGUGGCGGCGCACAGAUCACCAAGGGCGCGUGCUUCAAGUGCGGGGACACCAGUCACUGGGCGAGAGAGUGCCCCCAAUCCUUGCAGGCAAGUGUCGGCGGCGGGAUCGGGGGCGGUGUAGGAGGCGGAAUCGGCGGCGGCGGCGGCGGCUAUGUGGAUGCGGGCGGGGAGGUGGAGGAGAAGGCGUGCCCCUGCGGCGCUGGGAUCUGCCUUGUGCUCACCUCCAGCACGCCCAGAAACCCCGGCCGCAAGUUCUACAGGUGUCCCACGCGGGACAAUGGAGGUUGCAACUUCUUUGAGUGGUGUGAUGCUCCAUCUCCAGGCGCUGCUAAUGCUCGCAGCAGCACAAGCUUUCAGUCAGAUGCAUCAAUUGUGAAUAUGCCUUGUUCCUGUGGUGCUGGAACAUGCUUAAUUCUCACGACAAAGGCGGGAGUUAAUGUUGGGAGGCAGUUUUAUCGGUGCCCAGCUCAGGGAGGUAGCUCUUGUGGCUUUUUCAAAUGGUGUGACGAUCAGCAGCAGCCUAGGACAGCUGCUCCACUGCAAGGUGGUUCAUCACAAUACCAAGCUGGUGCUACCCCCACCAACCAAAACAUGAGCAAGAGCUCUUCAGGCUGCUUCAAAUGUGGGCAAGAGAACCACUGGGCGAAGGACUGCCCGAAUCAAGCUUCGGUUCCUUACUCUGACAAAGGCGGGAGGGCAUUAAGUUCAGCAACCUCAUCUGAUGGGUGUUUCAAGUGUGGUAAGGCUGGUCACUGGUCCCGUGAUUGCCCUGUUGCAAACAGUGGUGGUGGUGGUGGUGGUGCCGUCGCCAGCAAUGUCAAGUCGUCUUCUACUUUGGGCUCAUGGAACAGCAGGAGAUACUGA
rnacentral:rRNA from 1 species